rfam:Gorilla gorilla gorilla genomic chromosome, chr14, whole genome shotgun sequence
GUCUACAGCCAUACCACCCUGAACGCGCCCGAUCUCCUCUGAUCUUGGAAGCUGAGCAGGGUUUGGUUUGGUUAGUACUUGGAUGGGAGAUAAAAGGAAUAGUAGAAGGAAUAUGAC